GACGAACGCUGGCGGCGUGCUUAACACAUGCAAGUCGAGCGGUAAGGCUCCUUCGGGAGUACACGAGCGGCGAACGGGUGAGUAACACGUGAGCAAUCUGCCCUUCUCAUCGGAAUAACCAUUGGAAACGAUGGCUAAUGCCGAAUACGACUUCCUUUCGCAUGUCAGGAAGUGGAAAGCUCCGGCGGGGAAGGAUGAGCUCGCGGCCUAUCAGCUUGUUGGUGAGGUAAUGGCUCACCAAGGCGACGACGGGUAGCCGGCCUGAGAGGGUGACCGGCCACGCUGGGACUGAGACACGGCCCAGACUCCUACGGGAGGCAGCAGUGGGGAAUAUUGGACAAUGGGCGAAAGCCUGAUCCAGCAACGCCGCGUGAGGGAUGACGGCCUUCGGGUUGUAAACCUCUUUCAGCAGGGACGAAGCGAAAGUGACGGUACCUGCAGAAGAAGGACCGGCCAACUACGUGCCAGCCGCCGCAGUAA
rnacentral:rRNA from 1 species